AGAUUGAACGCUGGCGGCGUGCCUAACACAUGCAAGUCGAGCGGUAACAGGUGUAGCAAUACAUGCUGACGAGCGGCGAACGGGUGAGUAAUGCUUUGGAAUCUUCCCAGUAGUGGGGAAUAACCAGUCGAAAGAUUGGCUAAUACCGCAUACGUCUGUAAAGGGAAAGCGGGGGCUCGUAAGACCUCGCGCUAUUGGAUGAGCCAAAGUCGGAUUAGCUAGUUGGUGGGGUAAUGGCCUACCAAGGCGACAAUCCGUAGCUGGUCUGAGAGGACGACCAGCCACACCGGAACUGAGACACGGUCCGGACUCCUACGGGAGGCAGCAGUGGGGAAUAUUGGACAAUGGGGGAAACCCUGAUCCAGCGACGCCGCGUGUGUGAAGAAGGCCUGCGGGUUGUAAAGCACUUUUAGUGGGGACAAAAGCUACGGACUAAUAUUCUGUGGUCUUGAUUUAACCCAACGAAAAGCACCGGCUAACUCUGUGCCAGCAGCCGC
rnacentral:rRNA from 1 species